UCAGAUUCCAAAGGAGAAGAGGAAGAGGAAGAACCAGAGAAGGAAGGUAAGUGGCAAACAUAAUCAUUGAGAUAAGAGAGAGGAUUAUGUUGCCUGUCAGAUCUUCUGUGUCUAGUAGGGGCAGCAGCGGAAGAUAUAACAGGAGGAGAAGGAUCAGGGUUGAAAGGAGAAGUGGAGGCAGGAUGAUUAAGAGCAGAAAGAGGGGAGGGAGGAAGGGAAGAGUAAACAUGACUGGAGGCAGAAGGAAAAGAAGCAGGAGGAGAAGGACAAAUGGGAACAUGCAGAUCAAUUUCAGAACAGGGAAGCUCAGGGGAAGGAACUACAGGAGAAGGAAAAGCAGAAGGACUAGAGGUAACAGCAGAAGCAGAGUCAAAAAGAAAGCAGGUUUCGUGAAAAAUAAC
rnacentral:lncRNA from 1 species